CUCAGAAAGUUAAGUGAUUUCCCUGCAGUUUGAACUUCUUAGACUGUAAACAAUGCCUGUUGACUCCACAACUUCUAUGCACGAAUGUUUUGCCUAACUCUUCUGUAUAAGUUCAGACCAAUCUACAAAUACCCCGGAUACAAAUUAUCAAUGGGGAGUUUGGGAAUAUCAAGUUAAUUCUAAGAUAGUGGGUUCAUCUGAGCCAAAGGGAGAAUACAAGUCUCAGGCUGUCACCUAGAAUCUGCUAAAAAGCCCUUUCUCUGGUAUCAAUAAACUGUCGUUACAUCGUCUAGGAUUUACAGGCAAAGCUCCAGAGACAUUCUAAUUUGAAUCAUCUCUGCCUUGUCAUCACGGUCGUGGUCUGCACUGUCUCUAAGUCUGAAUCUCAGAGCUAGGAAAGUUUUUCCUUAGCUUACCUGCAAGGCAUUCACAGUACAAAGCAUUCAAUGAUGCCUUCUGCAAUCAAGGGGCUAACUGGUAACCACCUCAACCUCGCGUGUGCGCUGGAGAAACUCCAGAGAACUGAAGAACACAUUCUUGCUCUGAGCCAUGAAUACGUUAUACCAGGCUAGAUGGAGCAUGCCAGGUUCACCCUCAACCUGUCUUAUGUCUGUGUGUCCGUGCCCUAUCUCUAAAGCAAACAUGGCAUGACUUGCAGUACAAUGUGUGUAAGGCACACAAGGCUAAAUAAAAGACGUAGAAAAAUAAGUCUAAAUAAGAGACAAGAAAAAGACGUACGAUCCUACAGAGGUAACAUGAGAAACAUUGUAAAAUGAAAUGCUAGACUGUGUACUUGGUCUUUAAAAAACAGUCCCUAGUGUUGAUUAAGGCUGGAAGGAGAGGGGAAGUACUUGUCUCAGAUAGAAUUUGGAGAAGAGGGGUUAGGGCUCAGUGGUAGAUCCCUUCCGUAGCAGAUAGGAAAGCCUAGAUUCUAUUUCCAGCACUGCGAACCACAAAGCAAACAAAUGGACAAAGAAUUGGAGAAGAUGCAAAUGGGAAGAACGUCGCUUGGUGUUUCGCGUUACGUCUUGAGCAAUCUGCAAAUUCUUGUGGUGAACAAGAGUAACAGCUCUAAAGUGGUCAGGAAACCUGGACAUAACUUCUGAGCCAUAUAUUUGGAACCGUGCCUCUAUUGUCUGGGCCUGCGACUCUGACGUCUACUAAAUAUGAGGAAUUAUGAAGUGAUUGUUAAAUAUUUAAACAGCUAAGGGAAACAGGAAGUAAUGAGAAACAAAACACCCUACAGAUCUGAGUCACAGGAGAUCCACUGUGGCAGGCCCUGUCAACCUCAGCUCCAGCCAUUGUUUUAUGUGUAUAUAUGCCCAGAGAAGAAGCUGUCUGUCUAAAGGUCCCAACUGCCAGCCAUUUAAACUGGGAAGAACAGAAACACAGUUGGAGAACCUCACUCUUCCACUUAGCUCUGAUCAGAAAUUGUUUUUUGCCAGGACUGAGAGGCCACUAGAAUAUCUGUAUCUAAAUGGAACUAUUGUUUUUUGCUGGUUACUCUUUAGGUUUUAAUUUUCCACUGUUAUGUGGAUGAUAUGUAAAGUUAAGAUGUAUGAUCGUGUUUUUGGAAGGAUGAGGCAGGGGAUUGUGAGUUUGAGACUAGCUGGAACUAGUUUACAUCUCGUUUGUUGAGACAUGGGUUCAAUCUGUAGCCUAGAUUGUCCUAGAACUUUCUGUGUAGUCCAGGCUGCUUUGAACUUAUGGAUAUCCUCUUACCUUAGCUUCUAGAAUGCUGAGAUCAUACAUGUGAGCCGUUAUGCUCUAUGUAUAUGUAUUUCUCAAUAUAUAUAUAUAUGUAUA